GAUUCUAAGCAGUUAACUCCUUGCUUAAUGACACCAGGGAGCACUUCCUUCACGGGGACACUGAGGAGAAAGGUGACAUCAGGCUGCUUUUCUCUCUCCUCUUGCUUACCCACCCCUUCCUCCAGAGGGAGUCACUGAGGUCUCCAGGACUGGCAGUCUGGGGAGGUGGGGGUGGGGUAUGGGGAGCAGGGUUGUAAGAGGCAGAAACAGCCUCAGUCCUAGAAGGUUCUUAUGGGAGACCUGAGACACAAGGGACCCUGAAGAGAUACUCAGGCCUAACUCAUGGACUCUUCAGCCUGGAAGUGGACACCUGGGAGUUUAAAGGCAGGUCUGAGGACUCAGAGUUAGCACCCAGACUGGACACCCUUGAAGGCCCUAGUGAUGAUAUACGCUCCAAAGAGUCUCCCAGGCCCCUGCCCCAGGAAGAAGAGCUCCCCUGAAGGACACAGCAGGCUGACCUGAUGGGUUUAGUGGGGUCAGUCCGGGUCAUCUUCUGCUCCAGCGGGAUCUGCUCCCACUUGAAAUGCAGACUCCAGUCAAACCCUACAGGCAAAGCAGAGUGGGAGUGGGAUGGCUUUGGACGUUCUUUUCCACCCUUUAGUCUCUUCUGAUCAGAGUGGGAUCCCAGAAGCCAUUGUACUGUACUGACACGGACACCUGUGCCAGCCUACUGAGAAGACAAAUGCUACAAAGUGUAUUUUGCAAAGUGCUAAAGAGCAAAUAACAACAUGAAGUAUCCAUAUUAUAGCAAGGUUAGUCAACAAAACUCCGACAAGUUGCUUUUUAACCAAGCAUGGGAAUAAAGACUAUGCUCCAUAUGGACAUCUGGGAAAAGGAAAUUCCAGACACGGGCAGCAGCAAGUGGGUGCUGGUUUGGACGAGAAUGACUUCCACAGGCUUAUCUAUCUGAACACUUGGUCCCCAGAUGAAACUGUUCUGGGGCAGGGGAUUAGGAGCUGUGGCCUUGUUGGCGGAAGUUUGCCCCUAAAGGUGGGCUUCAAGGCUUUAAAAGCCCAUGCCAGGCCCAGUUCGCUCUCUCUCUGCCUCUUGCUUUUGGAUCAUCUGUGAGCUCUCAGCUACUGCUCCAGCACCAUGCGUGCCUGCCUGCCGCCACACCUCCUGCCGUGAUAGUUAUAGACUCAUCCCAUGGAACCAUGAGCCCCCAAAUAAACGCUGCCUUUU
rnacentral:lncRNA from 1 species